GGAAAGAGGAAGAAUAAAGUACUAAUACUUGCAAUAACAUGGCUGAAUGUUGAGUGAAAGAAGCCAAGCACCCAAGAAUAUAUACUGUAUGAUUCAGUGCAUAUAGUUCAAGAGCAGCCAAAAUGAAGCUAGGAUUUUGAUGAAAGUCGGGGGAGUGGUUGCAUCUGGGGAGUUGAGCAACUGGCCGAAAAGUGGCUCCAGGGAGCUUCCUUCUGGGUACUAGAAAUAUUCUGUGCCUCGACCUAGGUGUAUGCGUAUUUCAGAAUUCAUUGAGCUGUACCCUUCAGAACUGGUCACUUCAUUAUCUAUAUGUGAACCUUGAGUUAAAGAUAAGUCACACGUCUUCCCCGUUCUACCAGCAUCAGGGCCUCCCCUUGCCUCCAGGAGAAGGGCCACUUUCUUUAGCAGGGUACAAAUCUUCUUCACGACUUCACCCCCUCUUGGCCAUGUCCAGCACCCACUUUCCAUCAGUUUUCCAGACAAGCUGUGCUCAUCGGUGUCUGUGUGCUUUCGUGGGCUAUUCCUUCUGUCUAGAAUCCAUCCUUCCUCCCUGUUGGUGCAGCAAAUUCUUCAUCAUCCUCAAGGCUCAUUUCAACUGUCACCUCUCCCUUGAAGCCUGCCCUGAUCCAGCAGGGAGAAGACGCUCCUCCCCUUCUGCAUGCACUGGUCUUCAUGGACCCGUUUUUGUUUCCUGUGGCCACUUUAACAAAUGACCACAAACUGGGUGGCUUAAAACAAAAUAAGUUUAUUUCCUCAUGGUUUGAGAGUCCAAAAGUCUGAAAUCAAAGUGUCAGCAGGGCUGUGCUCUCCCUGAAGGCUCAAAGGGAUCAUUGGUUCUGUGCUUUUCUCUUAGCAUGUAUUUGUGACAGUCCUUGGCUUGUGUGUGCAUCAUUCCUGUCUCUGUCGCCUCAUCCCAUGGCCUCAUCCCCCAUGUCUAUCUGCAUGUCCUUUCCUGUCUCUUACAAAGAUUUCAUGGAAUUAGGGCCCACCUCCAUCCAGCACGAUCUCAUCUCCAUCCUCACCUUAAAUUUUGCAAAGAUACUAUUUCCAAAGGAAUCAUAUCAGAUCUGGAGGUUCUGAAUGGGGGGAGGGGGGGGAGGAGGGACUCUUCAACCCACCGCACUCUCUUCCUGUUGCAGUUCCUGUUUGUGAUUAUCACGUGUCUGUGUCAGGUGAUGGUCCUGUCCCUAAGAGUGAGGCUAUCUUCAUUCUGGACCAUCAGCCACUGGUGCCAAGCCCCUCAAGCAAGAACUCCAAGCACAUAUCCAUUAGAUAACAGGAGCUCAAGACUCACAAACAUUAACGAGAAUUUUAUCAAAAUGUAUCAUGCCCUCAGCUGGAUUGUGGGCAUCUUGAAGGCAAGAAGCAUGCUUGGCUCAUCUCCUGUAGAGCAGGUCUGGCUGGGUCACACCUAGAAAGCAGAGACCUGACCGCACUCCUCUCUGUAACCCCGAUGCCCAGAGCAUAGUAGGUGCUCAAUCAAUUCUAGUCUGCGACUUGGACAUAAACAAUGAUCAUUUCUCUUAAAGAGCUUUGAACUUUUUCCCUCUUCAUUGGAUUUUUUUUUCUCAAGAAUUCUUUACUUUUUAAAGGAUAAUGUGGUAAUUCAAGCCAACCCUGGACUAUCUGUUUAAUCUUCUUUCCCCUAAAUAUUAGCUCAGUGGGAAAAGGAGCCUAACCUCUCUGUAUAUUUUUCUCUGUGUAUACUUUUGGCCAGAAGACUGGAAAACCCAAGACUAAAGCAAGAUGCUCAGAGAUUCCGGGAAAAGACGGAGAGAAAGCUCCAGCCAAGGAAGGAAUAGGGGUGUCAGGGGGGCAAGGACAGAUGUCACACAUCUUCUCUAGAAGGACUCUGUCUAAGGAUUUGCCUGUCUCACGCGUGAGUGAUUCUCAGUGACAAGCGCGCGCACCUCUGUGACCCCCGCGGGGAGGACGGUUUCCAGCUGGGGCUGCUGCCCAGACCGACCUGAGCCAGGCUGGGAGCACAGACCCCUUGUCUCUCAAUCCUUUCUCCAAAGACAUGUGUGCUGAACUGUGUUGACGGCUGCACAACCCAGCUGAUGUAUCCUAAAGG
rnacentral:lncRNA from 12 species